rnacentral:rRNA from 1 species
GACGAACGCUGGCGGCGUGCUUAACACAUGCAAGUCGAACGGAAAGGCCCUGCGUUUGUUGGGUGCUCGAGUGCCGAACGGGGGAGUAACACGUGAGUAACACGCCCUUGUCUUUGGGAUAACAUCAGGAAACUGGGGCUAAUAUCGGAUAGGAUCUCCUGCUGCACGGGGGGCAUUGGUAAGUGUCGGCUGUUGGGGAUGUAUUCGAGGCUUAUGGGCUGGUUUGGCGAGUAGUGGUGGACGAGGGCUUUGAAGGGUAGCCGGCCUUAGAGGGUUACCGGCGACAUUGGGACUGCGAUACGGACCAGAAUCGUACGGGAGGCAGCAGUGGGGAAUAUUGCAGAAUGGGCGGAAGCCUGAUGCAGCAGCGCCGCGUGCGGGAUGACGUGCUUUGGGGUGUAAACAGCUUUCGCAGGUGACGAAGCGUGAGUGACGGUAAUGGGUAAAGAAGCACCGGCUAACUACGUG